rnacentral:lncRNA from 1 species
UGGGUUCACGACACUCGUAGCUCCCUUUCUCACUUCCUGAACCCUAGGCAGAAAUCCUAGGGUACACAAGAAAAACCUUGCGCCCACUUUCUCUUUUCUUUUCUCUUCUUUUCUUUUCUUUUCUCAUGCAGAGGGUCUAUCUGACACCCCUUUUUCUCUCUGAGAUCAUAUGUCACAUGCCCCACCUCAUUUCUUUUAAAACAG